UAACAUGAGGACAUUCUGGCAGUGACAUCUGUCACCCCAGUGAACACUAGGUUUGAUGCAGUUGAUACGGCUGACUGGGUGAGCAACUCCUUUCUUCAUCGCUCCAUGUGCCUCCCUCCUGAAGCUGAUUUGUUGAACAGGAUGUCCACUGCCAGGCAAUUUUAUCUUACUGAUUUCUUUAUAAAUGUCAAGAAGAAAGUUGGCUUU
rnacentral:snRNA from 1 species